rnacentral:rRNA from 1 species
UACGAAGGGGGCUAGCGUUGUUCGGAAUCACUGGGCGUAAAGCGCACGUAGGCGGAUUGAUAAGUCAGGGGUGAAAGCCCGAGGCUCAACCUCGGAAUUGCCUUUGAUACUGUCAAUCUCGAGUCCGGGAGAGGUGAGUGGAAUUCCUAGUGUAGAGGUGAAAUUCGUAGAUAUUAGGAAGAACACCAGUGGCGAAGGCGGCUCACUGGCCCGGUACUGACGCUGAGGUGCGAAAGCGUGGGGAGCAAACAGG